UAAAUUUAUUUUAUUUUUAUUUAUUUAUUAUAUUUUGAAUUUCAGAAACUUCAAAUCACUGUCCUCCAGCUUUACAAACCGGGGUUUAAACACUGUUUAAGAACAAGAACCAGCACGAGCUUCUGGAACUAUUUGUGCGAAUUAAGCCAUUUGUGCGUGUUUGUCUGGGUGCUGACACAUUUGGCUGGAACGUUGUGUACUUUUUGUACGGAACCAAAACGCAUGCCUUCGAUGGUGUUGGUAGAAUACGGCAAGAUAGGAGAAGAGAGAGCGCUCGCAAAACUGCUACAGAGAGUACACAGUACAAAGGGAGGUUGUUUAGGUGGACCGUGUUAUUGAGAGAAUUCUUUAAGUAUCCUAUCCUCCAAAUUGCACAGUGGAAGCAUUAAUGAUCCAAAACAACAACAUAAACAGACAAUUCUUUUAGUAAACAGACCAACUUGAGGAUCCUGAGCAGCAAAGUGCUACUCUCAAUAUUGGCAAUCGUCAGAGAGACUGAGAGAAACAGUUGUGAAUGGGUCCAAUAAGAAAAUGUUCACUUGUGCAUGCUGGCAGAAUUGGUGCCCAGUGAGUUAAACAAAGAUGAAUGGAGCGGUGAAAUAAAAGGGGCUAGCUUCUACUGAUGACGCACAGAUGGCGGCGUAGAUUGGGUCUGGAGUGUUGCAUACUUCUGGGAGAACAGUAAUGCUCUAGAAUGAUUUAAUGUGGUUGCAUAAAUUUGAGAACAAAAAUGUGAAGACCGUUUUAGGAAGCUUACCACAAUAAGCUCAUGAAAUGAUUCUAUUACAAUUUACUUUUAAUGAUGCACUUAUUCCCUGGCAAUAAGAUCGAUCAUUACAAAGUUUUUGAUGAUAGGUUUAUUAUGCAUAAAUCUUUUUAAAAAUCGCAUACGCAUGGAGAUGGUGCGGGUUGCAGAGUGGAUUUCGGCAUGUUUUCAUGCUGAUUGUCCAGCCAGAUUGCUUAGAAAAUGGUUAAAGGGAAUUAAAACCAAUUCUAUCCGAACAGGACAAGCAGCACCAUGGCAGGUUCUGCCAAAAUCCAUACUGCAUAGACACAAAUCUCUGAGAUAAUGAUAUUUAUUAACAAUUUUAAUGACAUUUAGCAUCAUAAGUUCGUGCAUACAAGGGUGGAAAAUAGAUUUGACAUCUUAUAAAAAUGAAGUCAAACAAAAAUUUUGGGUUUUGGACUUCCUCACUGAGGUAAGGUUAUAAUUCUGCUCUAAAAAUGAACUUUUCAUAUAAGCUCGUAGACCCACCUUCGCAUAAACCUAUCAUCUGCCCGUCUAUGUGCAUGUAUGUGUGUCUGUGUGUUACCAAUUGUCACUCAGUUUUCUCAGCACUUUCUGAACCGAUUUAGGCCAAGCUGGUCGCAUUUGACUAGGUUUAGGAUCUAAUAGAUAGAGUUAAAAAAAAGUUUUGAUAAGAAGUUUAAAAAAACUAACUUUAAUCGAAAACGGAAAAAAACUGCAGGGAAUUCAGAAAAAAGAAAUUUAAAGAGAUAAAAAUAAGAAAAUAUUUGUACUGUUACAUUAAUUAAAUCCAUCGUGAUACAAAUUCUUCAGCCAGCUCUGAAAACUCUUCGCCAGUGAUCCCACGUGGGCAGCAAAUCUGCCCACUUCAAAGAAUUUCAAAAGCCGUUUCACACUUCCGGGUUGGGGUUUGGUGUGCAGCACUUGAGCAUUUGAACUUCACUGUGGCCAGCAAACAUAGGACGUAUUUUCAUUUUUUAUUGCACUGUUGCAUAGUUUUUUUCAUUCGAAAAAUCAUAGCAAGAACGUCAAAAGAAAAGUCAAACAUCAAAAGAAUCUCGCUGGUGGUUCUAGUUCGACAAUUAUCUUGAGUUUACAUGCUUUUCUCACUUGAACAACUUUUUCGGAACUUUUGUAGCGAGGUCAUAUGGUUAGCCAAUGGUGCUUCUGAAGUUUACUUUGUCUGGUACAAUUCUGAACAAAUU